GACGAACCGUGCGAACGUUGUUCGGAAUCACUGGGCUUAAAGGGCGCGUAGGCGGGUGUGCAAGUCUGCGGUGAAAGCCUCCAGCUUAACUGGAGAAGUGCCGUGGAUACUGCAUAUCUUGAGGAGGGUAGGGGCAUCUGGAACAUUGGGUGGAGCGGUGAAAUGCGUUGAUAUCCAAUGGAACUCCGGUGGCGAAGGCGAGGUGCUGGACCCUUUCUGACGCUGAGGCGCGAAAGCCAGGGGAGCGAACGGG
rnacentral:rRNA from 1 species